CCCCUUCCCUUUCCUUUCUUCAAUGGGGUUUGAUGAUCUCUAAAGGCAAAGGUUUCAUGAUCCACCCCCGAGUGACCUCUUCAAAGACCAUUUGCCCAUGAAUUUUGUGUUUGGUCCAUGAGAUGAGACCAAAAUAGACAUAUAAAAAUAACACACAUUUACACAUGAGAAGAAAAAGGAAAAAUAAAUAAAUGAAAAAUAAUAUUAUCAAUGAAAGUCAAAAUAAUAAUAAUAAAAAAAAAUGUGCACAUAUACAACUAAGCAAAGAAAAGGAGACUGAAGGAAGAGAAGGAAAAUAAAAGGAAAAAUAAAAGUAAGCUUGGCUUGGUCAUAGCACAUCAUCUUGUGUAGACUUCCAAAAGGUGGAUGUCAGUUUUUAGAUUUUAUUACGUUCUCCAUUUUUAUAUUAAUGUACACAUAAGUCAUUACAAUACUUUUCCCUUAAAGCAUUCAAAACUAUAGUCAUAUGAACAAAAUAAUGAAAAGUAUUUGAUUAAAUAAAAAUGUUGCAUGUUUGUGUGCACACACACAAACACUUGAUCCAAAGUAAGAAUAUCAUAUUAAUAAUUUAUUACCCAUGUUUGAUCAAAUUCAUGUUCAGUUUGUGCAUUUCCACAACCUAAAAAUUAUUCAACAACCCAAAAAGUUCUGUUGUAUGGUUUUUUUUUUAAAAAAAAAUUGGUGUUAUUCACAGAAAUAACUCCAUCUAUAGUAUAUCAAUAUUAUGUUUGUCUAUGAUGCCAAAAUCACUAAACAAAUAACCAAAAACCAAAAACUGGAGCAAUUGAUAUCUGAAACUGUUUCAUGCAUAAAAACAGUUGUAUUUUCAUAUUUCAUAUUUUUCAGAUGUGCGUGAUUGAUAAACAUUCUGUAAAAUUUUCAAAUUUUUGUUUAGAAAACUAAAUAUCGCAUUAUUUUAUCCAGGAAUCAAAAAUUUACAAAAAUCAAAGUGUAUGUGCUAAAUAUUAAAGUCAUUUUUUAAAAAAUAAAUUGAUUCUACAUCAGAUUAAACCCACUCAAAAGGACAAACAUUCUCACCUGGAGUAGAGGAAACAUAAGAAUUAAGGUAGUGCAUUUGGUGUUGAUUAUGCCCAUCAAUGGAAUUCACAAAACAUCAAAGAUACACUUAUGGAACAACAGUAGAUGUGCUAAAGAUUCAAACUUUGAUAAAACAAGAGAGAAGAGUAUGUGAAAUCUUUUCUCAGCCUGUUUCAAAAUAUUGCCACAUUUUUAAUUCACAAUUAAACACACAGUGACAUAAAUUUUAGCAUUAUUUAGCAGAAAUUUGCAGUAUAUAACUAUUAUAGGUUAUGGUAAAAUUUUAUCAUUGUAACAUAAAAUAUUUCGUUCUAAUUCUUAUAAGCAUCGUGCCAAAUUUCGUAUAUAUAUAUCCAAAAUAUGAUUUUUGUGUGGGUGUGUGAAGUGAUUUGAUGAGUUGUGAAGCAAAAGAUUCAGAGCACAUUGUUUGCAUUACGUAAAAAACGAAUUGACAGAUUUUGAAAUGUAACAUCUGUAAAUUUCAUCAAAUAAGAAAUUUGAUCUGUAUUUCAUGUUUACCUUGAAUUUUUAAAGAUUAAAAAAAAAAUCAUAUUAAAAAUAACUGAAACACAACAAUAUACACUCAUACACAAUAAAGGAUAAAAUAAAAUGGAAAUAUAAAAAGUGACUUAGCAUACGUGCUAAAUGUCUUAAAGGUUUGAAAAAAAAUUCUUUGCAAAGAUUCCAAACAUUUAAACUCACAAUUAAGAAAAAUUUAUAUUAAAUUAUAUGUAAUUUGAAUAAUAUAAAUAUAAAUAUAAAUAUUAUUUCACUUACAAUAAUUAUUAAAUGAGUUUAUAACUGACUUUCAGAUGGCAUAUAUAGAGUAGAGAAUGUUUAAAACUUAAGUAUAUGGAAUAAAAUUUUGGUGAUUUUAUUUUAAUGCCAACGCUUCAUGAGUUCUGUAGUAGCACAGCAACAUAAUGGAAUCCUGA
rnacentral:lncRNA from 1 species